UCGGAUACUGUCCUAAAUCAAAAAAUAAUUGGUUUCAUGGCCUACUUGAUAACUGAAUAACUGAAAUAUAACAUUGAGAUUAUAUGCAUGUUGAGUUUAACAAAUUUAUAACAGCAAUUUUAACAAUCUUCAAACUUCAUCAAACAGCAAUCAUGGGAGAAGGAAUAAUAAUAUUCGCACUGUGGUACGCGUUCCUUGGCUAUAUGUAUUACAGACGUCGUCUGCCGUACCAACAAACACAAGUAGAAAGAUCUGAGUCGAUAACAGCUUCUCGACUGCAUGGCAUGAUUUAGAAGCCCUAUUUAGAAAACCUAAUAAGGAGACCAACCUGCAAAAACCAAAUGUUAAGCAUUCUUCGAAUGAGGAAAAUGGUAUUCUAGAUGAUAACAGAAGAUCUUGCGAAAUUGUACCUCAGACGUCAACUGCCAUUUCAAGAGAACGCCCCCGAAAUCCGGUCUAUCCUGCGACCUCCCACCCAGUUGGCUGUAACUUCGGAGCCGUCGCAACCCUGCUCCUGUCGACCCCAGAACAGAUGCUACAGAAUGGAAACUUCUGGUUAAAUCUGGAAAAUAAAGAAAAUGUAUUGAAGACGCUAGACGAUUUUGAAAAACAAUAAAGCGUCCGUACAACCGUGCCCUGUCACUUCAGCACAGAUUCAGAAUGGAAACUUCUUGAUAAGUCUGGAGAAUAAUGGAAGAGAAAAUAUGUUAAAGAUAGACCAUACUGUUAAAGGAAAGAUGCUUAAGAAAAUAAAGAGCAAGUAAAUCACAAGAAUGCGCAAAAAAACAACACAGAAAGUAUGGAUGCAUUGCAUCAUGAAUAAUGUUAUGUAAAAUAAAGUAAAAUAUUAUUUACUUAAUACAGAAACUAAAAAAUUGUGUAGGAUCAAGAAAAAAAGCUUUAAGAGAUCAUAACUUGAAAGCAGUUGGAUACAGCAGAUUUGGAAUAUACGUAAGAUUACAACAAAUUGAGAUAACAUUU